AUGGGCAUGGAGCACUCUGAACCAGCUAUGCCGCGUGCAGGACGACUGCCCUAUGGGUUGUAAACUGCUUUUAUACAGGAAGAAACCGUGCUACGUGUAGCAUCUUGACGGUACUGUAAGAAUAAGGACCGGCUAACUCCGUGCCAGCAGCCGCGGUAAUACGGAGGGUCCAAGCGUUAUCCGGAAUCAUUGGGUUUAAAGGGUCCGCAGGCGGUCAAUUAAGUCAGAGGUGAAAUCCCAUCGCUCAACGAUGGAACUGCCUUUGAUACUGGUUGACUUGAGUUAUACGGAAGUAGAUAGAAUAAGUAGUGUAGCGGUGAAAUGCAUAGAUAUUACUUAGAAUACAU
rnacentral:rRNA from 1 species